CCUACGGGGGGCAGCAGUGGGGAAUAUUGGACAAUGGGCGAAAGCCUGAUCCAGCCAUGCCGCGUGUGUGAAGAAGGCCUUCGGGUUGUAAAGCACUUUCAGUGGGGAAGAAAGCCUUGGGGCCAAUACCCUCGAGGAAGGACAUCACCCACAGAAGAAGCACCGGCUAACUCCGUGCCAGCAGCCGCGGUAAUACGGAGGGUGCGAGCGUUAAUCGGAAUUACUGGGCGUAAAGCGCGCGUAGGCGGUCUGAUAAGCCGGUUGUGAAAGCCCCGGGCUCAACCUGGGAACGGCAUCCGGAACUGUCAGGCUAGAGUGCAGGAGAGGAAGGUAGAAUUCCCGGUGUAGCGGUGAAAUGCGUAGAGAUCGGGAGGAAUACCAGUGGCGAAGGCGGCCUUCUGGACUGACACUGACGCUGAGGUGCGAAAGCGUGGGUAGCAAACAGGAUUAGAUACCCUUGUAGUC
rnacentral:rRNA from 1 species